UUCCUCUGAUGGUCAUGCAUGACAAGAAAGCCAUACGUACAGAACUCGGCAUGAGUUGGUGAUUGCAAAUUCUAAAAGAAGAUUGCAAUUUCUAAAACCUGCUUACACUUCUCUGUAUGUAUGCUGCUGACAACCUGUCCAAGCACAUAAGAAGAUUGCAAAUUCUGAAACCUGCUGACACUUCUCUGUAUGUAUGCUGCUGAAUCUAUACAGCUGCAAUGUCCUUGCUUAUUUUCUUUUUCAAUAUGGUGGGUAAGGUGCUUGAGGUCUCAACCAAAGAAAAAGAGGUGAUAAUACAGUAGUUUUCUGGUUUUU
rnacentral:lncRNA from 1 species